UCCACCCCGGCAGCGACGCGGGCUCCUCUCCCUCAGGACAAGGUCAAGGAUGAAGGGUCAAUGUCAAGUUGUCUUAACGGUGGAAGGCGACCGUCCACGGCAGCACUCCUUGCUUUCCGCGUUUCUGGUGUCCUUGAUUGAUUUGAAAGUGCCAUUUUGAGGGGGAAACGCACCCUGCCACCGAGAAGACGUGAGGGCUUCGCUUUUCCUUCAAAGGGCGACGGCGUGAGGAUGGUACAGUACGGAGGUUUCAUCGCCCUUCUGCCUAACAGCUUUUCAUGCCUUAAAACUGCUUUAACGGCCGGAUUGCUUUAAGUUUCAGGGGCGCUCGGAAGGCUGAACUCUGCCAAAGCGAACCCCCCGGGAGUUCAGAGUAAAGCCCCCAUCUUCUGUUAAUCGCAGCUUAUAACAAAAAUAAUUAAGUCAAGUGUAGGUGGGGUGCUGCAGGCCUCCUGCAAGCCAAGCUGCCCGGCCAGAAAAUGCCCUUAAACCUCCCUCACCGUGCGUGUCUGCCAAAAAUCUUUGCAGAAAGCGGCACGUUAAUCCUCAUCAUCUCCUCUCAAGAAUGAUAAAAAUACUCCUCCUAAACCAGAAAGAGUUGCCCCAACCGGCUGCAAAAUCCGCAGCCGAAACACCUUCUGGAGGGAGGUAUUAUCGCCGGGCAUUGCAAGGAGUGAAAUAAGCGAGUGUCCCCCCGGCCCGCUGGUUUGUCUGACGCUCCUUGGAGGGAAAAAGCCACCUCGGAGGGAAAAAGCCACCUCGCGUGGCUCGGCGUGGGGGGUUGCGGGAAGGAGAGUGGAAACUUUCGCUGUGACUUGGACGUGAACUUCCUGCGACGGGGGCACGUGCAGCCUCUCACCUUCUCUUCACGUUCUGGAUCAAAUCCUUCCUGUUUUGAUCUAAUAUAGAUACCAUUAUUUAAAA